AUGGGACGCAUUCCACACACCCUGGUCCCCUGUCUGGGAGUUUUAGGAGUAUCUGAACAUCCUGAGAAGGAAGGCCCACAUACCAGCCAGUCCUGGCUGGGGGUGCAGUCCCAAGCUACCAGUGCCUCUGGAAGCAGCUGGCAGCGCCCUCAGGGAGAGGGGCAGCGAGGGGUGGCACUGCCACCGUGCCCAUCAAGACUCCGACGACUUCAGCCGCAGCUUUCCUGCCCCAGCCUGGCCCCUCAGGUCCCCCACCCACCGCACGGUGAAUGGAAGGACACAAUCUUUUACUGUCUUUCCCAGGGCCAGUGUAAAACUACAGGUGAGGCUAUCUGAUAUUGCUAGCUUUGAACUUUAGGUAAAGGGAGGUCUUAUGGCUAUUUGGCUAUGUGAAGUCAGUUUCUCCCUGCCUCCAGGGAAUGGUGUGAUGUGGGUAGAAGUGGGGCCCUGGCAAAGGAGUGCAUUCAUCCCCCUCCUCCUGGCUUGCCUUGCAAAGAGCAGCCCUGGUGCCCUGUCCACCCUCCUGCAUAAUGUAUGCGCCCGUGGUAAGAACAGAAUACCAUCCAUGGCGAGUUUGGCCACUGCAGCCCAUGGAUGUGUCCAGAGGUCUUGCCAAGGCUGACGUCUCUCUGUUGGCAGGAGGUGAAGGGAGGGCGGGGCCCUGUGUCACCUGAAGCCUUUUCCUGGUCUGAGGUGGGAACUGGUUUCAUCUUGGGUCUCAGGAUUCUGCAAAGAUAAGGGCAGACGAGAAGACAGCCCUAAGCAGGCAGUCUGACCCAGACUUAGAUUCAACAGAGGUGACACUGGGAACAGCUAGACUCGGGUUUUCUGGACUUGAAGCUCUCUCUGAGUGGGCUGGGGUGGCAGAGCCAGUGGGACCUUCUCAGUGUGGUCGAGGGGUAAGGGGAGACCUCGGAACCAGGGGCACAGACCCUGGUGAUUUCAUACACCCCCUGUAUUGGAAGGCAAAGUCCUAGCCGCUGGACUGCCAGGGAAGUCUCUCUCUUUUUAAAAUAUUUAUUUAUUUGGCUGUUGGGUCUUAACUGUGGCAUGCGAGAUCUUCAGUUUACAGCAUGUGGAAUCUAGUUCCCUGAGCUGGGAUCGAACCCGGCCCCCUGCAUUGGGAGCUCGGAGUCUUAGCCACUAGGCCACCAGGGAGGUCUCUCCCCUGGCAAUUUCCUUUUCUUUUUUUUUUUCCAAAUUUUUUGGAUGUGGGUCAUUUUUUUAAAAGUCAUUAUUGAAUUUGUUGCAAUAUUGUUUCUGUUUUAUGUUUUGGCACUUUGACCAACAGGCAGGUGGGAUCUUAGCGCCCUGACUAGGGAUUGAACCUGUGUACUCUGCAUUGGAAGGCAAAGUCCCAAUAGCUGGACUGCCAGGGAAGUUCCUUUAAAAAAAAAUAUUUAUUUAUUUGGCUGCACCAGAUCUCAGUUGUGGCAUGUGGGAUCUUCAAUCUUAGUUGCAGCAUUCAGGAUCUUUGCUACUGCUAAGUCACUUCAGUCGUGUCCGACUCUGUGCGACCCCAUAGAUGGCAGCCCACCAGGCUCCCCCGUCCCUGGGAUUCUCCAGGCAAGAGUACUGGAGUGGGGUGCCAUUGCCUUCUCCCAAGUUGUGAUAUAUGAACUUCCUUGCGGCAUGUGGGAUCUAGUUCCCUGACCAGGGAUCAAACCCAGACUCCCUGCAUUGGGAGCUCAGAGUCUUAGCCACUGGACCACUAGGGAAGUCCUGACCCUGGCCAUUUUUGUGGCUGCCUCCUGGUGCAGGAAACUCCUCAGGCAGCAGCCAUGGUGAGGUAUAUUGGGGCAGAGAAUGUGCACAGAAGUAGGUGUACUGGGUUGCUUUCAGGGGAACAUGCCAGGAUGCAGUAACCAAGGGUGAGGUCUGAGGCCUCUUUGAGGGAGGUGUGCUUACAUGAGUGUGCAUGUGUGUGUGCAUAUGCACAGCAUACGUGUGGAUAAUCAAAAAGGUCAGCAAGAAAGUGGGAGGUCAAAGUGCCUGAAGAGCCAAGGGAACCAGGGCAUCUGGAUAACAUUACCUGAUUGGUUUGAUUCUAUUCAUUCAUAGAAUCAGUAAGUACUCAGUGGAGGCCCCCCCAAAGCCAAACUAAAUGCUAGGCCUUGGGAUAUGAAGAUGAAUCAGACCCAGGCACUUGCAGUCUUAACUGAGGAGCCAGGCAGUAAAAUGAAGAAUUUCAGUACCUUGUGAUAAGUGCUAGAACAGCCGUCUGUAUAUGGUACCCAAAGCAGUCACCUUUGCCUAAGGCAGGCAGGAAGACCACCCCGAGGCAAAACUGAGCAGUGGUUCAAAGGAUGAGGGUGUUAGUUGGUGGUAGGGGAAUGGGGUAGGGGAGACCACGGAAGGGUGUUCUAUGUAGAGGGAAUAGCGGCUAUGAAACCCUAUACACCGGUUAAGGAACCUUGAGCAGACCUAAUGAUGGAAACAUGAAUGAGCUGAUGGGGCACAAAACAAUUUUGUUUACAAAUGAUCUGAUCAGUGGAAAUAAGCAACACCAGGGCUGGAAAUUUGUGUGCCUUAGUCUCUGCUAGGGUCCCAAAGCCUAGAGCAGUGCUUGGGACCCUGUUGGAUACAUCAUGAAUGAAUAAACCAAGGUGGCUCAGUGGUAAAGAAAGCA
rnacentral:lncRNA from 1 species